UACGUAGGGGGGCAAGCGUUAUCCGGAAUUAUUGGGCAUAAAGAGCUCGUAGGCGGUUUGUCGCGUCUGCCGUGAAAGUCCGGGGCUCAACUCCGGAUCUGCGGUGGGUACGGGGCAGACUAGAGUGAUGUAGGGGGAGACUGGAAUUCCUGGUGUAGCGGUGAAAUGCGCAGAUAUCAGGAGGAACACCGAUGGCGAAGGCAGGUCUCUGGGCAUUAACUGACGCUGAGGAGCGAAAAGCAUGGGGGAGCGAACAGG
rnacentral:rRNA from 1 species